rnacentral:rRNA from 1 species
GAGUNGAGUUGUUUGGGAAUGCUGCUUCAAAAUGGGAGGUAAACCCCUUCUAAAGCUAAAUACCGGCCAGAGACCGAUAGCGCACAAGUAGAGUGAUCGAAAGAUGAAAAGCACUUUGAAAAGAGAGUUAAAAAGCACGUGAAAUUGUUAAAAGGGAAGCGCUUGCGACCAGACUUGCGCCCGUCGGAUCAACCGUCGCUUGCGGCGGCGCACUCCGGCGGGCUCAGGCCAGCAUCAGUUCGCCUGGGGGGAGAAAGGCGGCGGGAAUGUGGCUCUUCGGAGUGUUAUAGCCCGCCGUGUAAUACCCUCGGGUGGACUGAGGACCGCGCGUAUGCAAGGAUGCUGGCGUAAUGGUCGUCAGCGACCCGUCUUGAAACACGGA